rnacentral:rRNA from 1 species
UACGUAGGUGGCAAGCGUUGUCCGGAUUUAUUGGGUUUAAGGGGUGCGUAGGCGGUCCUAUAAGUCAGUGCUGAAAUAUCCCGGCUUAACCGGGAGGGUGGCAUUGAUACUGUAGGACUUGAGUAGAGUUGAGGUUGGCGGAAUUGACGGUGUAGCGGUGAAAUGCUUAGAUAUCGUCAAGAACACCGAUAGUGUAGACAGCUAACUAAGCUCUAACUGACGCUGAGGCACGAAAGUGUGGGGAUCAAACAGG